rnacentral:rRNA from 1 species
AACCUGCCCUGUACUCUGGGAUAAGCCCGGGAAACUGGGUCUAAUACCGGAUAUGACCACCUUGGGCAUCCUUGGUGGUGGAAAGUUCCGGCGGUAUGGGAUGGACCCGCGGCCUAUCAGCUUGUUGGUGGGGUAAUGGCCUACCAAGGCGACGACGGGUAGCCGGCCUGAGAGGGUGACCGGCCACACUGGGACUGAGACACGGCCCAGACUCCUACGGGAGGCAGCAGUGGGGAAUAUUGCACAAUGCGCGAAAGCCUGAUGCAGCGACGCCGCGUGAGGGAUGACGGCCUUCGGGUUGUAAACCUCUUUCAGCAGGGACGAAGCGCAAGUGACGGUACCUGCAGAAGAAGCACCGGCUAACUACGUGCCAGCAGCCGCGGUAAUACGUAGGGUGCGAGCGUUGUCCGGAAUUAUUGGGCGUAAAGAGCUCGUAGGCGGUUUGUCGCGUCGGCCGUGAAAACUUGGGGCUUAACCCCGAGCCUGCGGUCGAUACGGGCAGAACUUGAGUUCGGCAGGGGAGACUGGAAUUCCUGGUGUAGCGGUGAAAUGCGCAGAUAUCAGGAGGAACACCGGUGGCGAAGGCGGGUCUCUGGGCCGAUACUGACGCUGAGGAGCGAAAGCGUGGGGA